GAUGAAGAACGCAGCGAAAUGCGAUACGUAAUGUGAAUUGCAGAAUUCAGUGAAUCAUCGAGUCUUUGAACGCACAUUGCGCCCCCUGGUAUUCCGGGGGGCAUGUCUGUCCGAGCGUCAUUGCUGCCCUCAAGCACGGCUUGUGUGUUGGGCCUCCGUCCUCCUCCCGGGGGACGGGCCCGAAAGGCAGCGGCGGCACCGCGUCCGGUCCUCGAGCGUAUGGGGCUUCGUCACCCGCUCUUGUAGGCCCGGCCGGCGCUUGCCGACACAUCAAUCUUUUUUCCAGGUUGACCUCGGAUCAGGUAGGGAUACCCGCUGAACUUAAGCAUAUCAUAAGCGGAGGA
rnacentral:misc_RNA from 1 species